CUCAUUAUGCCAACAAAUACUUGUUUCCUAAGUCAUUAUGGGGUAUGUAAAUGAGCAAUGGAAGAGCACACAGGCAGAAGGCUGGCCACUAGAGAAGACGUCACAGGGAGCUAGAACCUAAGCCUGACCUUGGGGUAUGGUCAGCGAGGGGAGGAGACAUUUCAAGCGACAGGACUGACAAAAGCGAGGGAAAUUCAAGAGAUAAGGAUAAGGCAGUUAUUGAUGUACCCGGGAGAACUUUCCGUGCUCAUCCAGAAUAUUCUCGGUCGUACGGCGUUCUACGUCUGAAGCACUUCCUGAUUAUCACUAUGGAGAGAUGCAACACACAGCUUCCCAAGGACCACCCCUAAAUCCAGAGUCCAUCUCCAACCUUGUCCUACGUCUUUCGCUUUCCUGAUUCUCCAACUUGAAUGUCCACAUCCAUCGCCCUGAGGUUCUAGAGGAUUUGCAAACUGAGGCUCAGAGUAGUAAGCCGAUGUGCCAACAUUACCAAGCCAUGAAGUGGCAGAACCAGAACUCAGACCCAUUCAGACUCCAAGCUUGGGGUCUUCACGUGCUGGAGCCACAGCCGCCAUCCCAAAUCAAAAGAGGGAUUCCCUAGGAAAACUGAUAUACGGAUAUACACUGUGAUCCAACACCCCAUAGAAAGAGGAAGAUCAUCAGUAAGUGGGUGAUGGUAAUACUGCUGCUUGGUAACCAACUCCAAAGACCAAAGGGUACCCUCAUCCCAUGGGUCCCUGCCACUUGCAUUGAAGUCUGUGCAAACCUCUGCUUUUCAGGUCGGGUUCUCUCUCCCCACCCCUACUUCUGUAAUUACACCGUAAUCCGAGAAGCUUGUUUGGUUUCCCACUAAUGACAGUUUCCUGUUUUUGAGGCUCCAAGGCACAUCAGGUGACAGAUCAUACACAGUUCUUAUUUCCAUCCCUUUAUUAGGCAGGGAUACUAUUGUGUUAGCACAAAUAUUUUCAUUGUGCCUUCAAAAUGACAAGGUAUUCAAGAUUACUCCAGCUAAUAGGAUGUCACAGGAGCUUGUGAGAUUAAUGACCAAACCUGUCUGACAAGAAUAAUAGGGUUUUUGAAAAGAGGAAAGCAAUCGGUCUCUACCGAUCAGCCUUUCAUAUGUUUUUACCUCGGGAGCAUAUUCUACUGCCUUGAAAUGAGGAAUUCUAUCAGUUCUUAUUACCUUCUGCAAAGAUUUGUCGCAUAGUCCUGUGAUGGGGCACGCUAGACGUGCAUAGUGAUGAGGCAUUUACUUUACAUCUUCAGAGUGUGGAAAUCUAUUGAACUCCAGCCCAAAUUGGCAACCUACGUGAUAUAAUAUUGCUGUUGAAUAUUUAAUGUCUACACUGAAAAUACGAAGGACAUCUCUGACUCUGUCAGGGGUCAAGAAUAGUGGAAAUAUAUUCUGAUUAACUUAUGACAUUUACAAAUGGGACUAGUCUUUCUUCUUCCAGAAUCAACUAGCUCCAACUCCCCAUGGCCCAUGAAGACAGCCAGGGAGAGCUGGCGGCCUCAACCCACAGCAGGUAUUUCUGUGUUGGUGCUUGGGAAAAGCUAGAUUUACAACUUUCUGAUCUUGGUUCCUCUCCAGUGUCUCUGCUUUUAUUAUUUCAGUGGGCCACCAACAGUUUUUGCUACCAAGAAACAAGUACUUACUGCAGAGCUGAGAGGGAAAACUGGCCAUUCUCUUUUUCUAGCUUCAGCUGGGCCUUUGUAGGACUUCCACAAAAGCUUGAUCUGCACGUUAGAACAGGACUCAGCAUGGCGGCUACAAGUUAAUAAGUGUCCAAAUUAUGAAAACUGCCUUGUUACUCAACUAUACUGGUUUGGGAAUACCAGUGUUUGAAUCAGCCUUACAAAUACAAACUUUGCUUUGGCUCAAUGUAGUUGUUCUUGAU